rnacentral:rRNA from 1 species
GAUGAACGCUGGCGGCGUGCCUAAUACAUGCAAGUCGAGCGAACAGAUGAGGAGCUUGCUCCUCUGACGUUAGCGGCGGACGGGUGAGUAACACGUGGAUAACCUACCUAUUAGACUGGGAUAACUUCGGGAAACCGCAGCUAAUACCGGAUAAUAUAUCGAACCGCAUGGUUCAAUAGUGAAAGGCGGUUUUGCUGUCACUUAUAGAUGGAUCCGCGCCGCAUUAGCUAGUUGGUAAGGUAACGGCUUACCAAGGCAACGAUGCGUAGCCGACCUGAGAGGGUGAUCGGCCACACUGGAACUGAGACACGGUCCAGACUCCUACGGGAGGCAGCAGUAGGGAAUCUUCCGCAAUGGGCGAAAGCCUGACGGAGCAACGCCGCGUGAGUGAUGAAGGUCUUCGGAUCGUAAAACUCUGUUAUUAGGGAAGAACAAAUGUGUAAGUAACUAUGCACGUCUUGACGGUACCUAAUCAGAAAGCCACGGCUAACUACGUG